CAUCAGCUGUGCCCUGGGCUCAGCUGGGACAGAGUUAAUUCUGUCCCCAGUAGCUGGUACAGCGCUGGUUUGGAUUCAGUGUGAGAAUAAUGUUGAUAACACACUGAUGUUGUAGUUGUUGCUAAGCAGUGCUUACUCUAAAGCACUUUCCCAGGCUCUGCCAGUGAGGAAGUGCACAAGAAGCUGGGAGGGAGCAUGGCCAGGAAGGCUGACUGGAACUGAGGGUUCAAAAGUGGCAUUUGAGUUGCAUUUGACCAGCUUUUGUACAGAAAACUUCACAAGAGAGGACAUGAAAGAAAGAGGAAGAUGUUUUGUUCAUAGAGACAAAUAAGAAUGUUGCACUCUGGCUUGUGUUCUGUGGACUGGAAAUACACUUCUGUGAGUCAUAAAUGUGAUUAAAUCAUGUCCAUCCAAGAAGCAUA